GACAGAGGCCUCGAGCGUUAGACGGAAUCACUGGGCUUAAAGCGUGUGUAGGCGGAAGGGUAAGUACCUUGUGAAAUCCCACGGCUCAACCGUGGAACUGCUGGGUAUACUGCUUUUCUUGAGCAAUCUAGGGGCGAGUGGAACAGAUGGUGGAGCGGUGAAAUGCGUAGAUAUCAUCUGGAACGCCAAUGGUGAAGACAACUCGCUGGGGAUUUGCUGACGCUGAGACACGAAAGCCAGGGGAGCGAACGGGAUUAGAUACCCCGGUAGUCCUGGCCCUAAACGAUGUCCACUAGAUUGCAGCGGCUCUGACGCCGUUGCGGUCGAAGCAAAAGUGUUAAGUGGACCGCCUGGGAAGUACGGUCGCAAGGCUAAA
rnacentral:rRNA from 1 species